rnacentral:rRNA from 1 species
UACGAAGGGGGCUAGCGUUAAUCGGAAUUAUUGGGCGUAAAGGGCUCGUAGGCGGUUUGUCGCGUCGGGAGUGAAAACUCGGGGCUUAACCCCGAGCCUGCUUCCGAUACGGGCAGACUAGAGGUAGGCAGGGGAGAGCGGAACUCCUGGUGUAGCGGUGGAAUGCGCAGAUAUCAGGAGGAACACCAGUGGCGAAGGCGGCUCACUGGCCCGGUACUGACACUGAGGUGCGAAAGCAUGGGGAGCGAACAGG